AUAACCAUUGCUGAGGAAUUGAUUACAAACAGGGAUGAGGUGUUAGAAAUGAGAAUAUUCAUCAGAGUCAUUUAUAAUAGUGACAAGUGGAGAUGCUCUAACUGUCUGACCAUGGGGGAAUGGAAAUGGCAAAAUGGUACAUUCAUCCAGGAGAUGAGAUAUUGAAAAGAGCAUCCUUCUGAUACCAGCUGCCAGAGUACCAGAGAUUUCAAGACUCCCAGCAACACAAAGCACUCCAUUGAUGAAACGAGCUGCAGGAUCCUUCUACAUCUUGACAGAAGGACAUCUGGGGCUUCCCGUCCAUGUCCAGUAAUUCACAUUUUCUAUGGGGCAUAUCAAUUAUGCAUCCACUUGCUUCUAUUAAUAUUUCAGGCUUCAUAAG
rnacentral:lncRNA from 1 species